UCCCUAAGUCAUUCAUUCUAUUUGUUGUGAACUAUCAUAUGAACAAACUGAAUACCUCCUUGUCUGAGCUGUUAAAUAUGCUCAAGAUAGCUGAGAACCAUAUUAAGAAAGAAAAGGCUUCACUUCUUCUUGUGGGUAAAACCUCAAAGAAGAAGUCAGAUUUUAAGGGUUCAAAGAAAGCACUGAAUCCUAAGGAUGGCA
rnacentral:lncRNA from 1 species